GAUGAGCGCUGGCGGCGUGCCUAAUACAUGCAAGUUGAGCGCUGAAGGUUGGUACUUGUACCAACUGGAUGAGCAGCGAACGGGUGAGUAACGCGUGGGGAAUCUGCCUUUGAGCGGGGGACAACAUUUGGAAACGAAUGCUAAUACCGCAUAAAAACUUUAAACACAAGUUUUAAGUUUGAAAGAUGCAAUUGCAUCACUCAAAGAUGAUCCCGCGUUGUAUUAGCUAGUUGGUGAGGUAAAGGCUCACCAAGGCGAUGAUACAUAGCCGACCUGAGAGGGUGAUCGGCCACAUUGGGACUGAGACACGGCCCAAACUCCUACGGGAGGCAGCAGUAGGGAAUCUUCGGCAAUGGACGAAAGUCUGACCGAGCAACGCCGCGUGAGUGAAGAAGGUUUUCGGAUCGUAAAACUCUGUUGGUAGAGAAGAACGUUGGUGAGAGUGGAAAGCUCAUCAAGUGACGGUAACUACCCAGAAAGGGACGGCUAACUACGUG
rnacentral:rRNA from 1 species